AACGAACGCUGGCGGCAGGCUUAACACAUGCAAGUCGAGCGGGCCCUUCGGGGUCAGCGGCGGACGGGUUAGUAACGCGUGGGAACGUGCCCUUUGCUUCGGAAUAGCCCUGGGAAACUGGGGGUAAUACCGGAUGUGCCCUGAGGGGGAAAGAUUUAUCGGCAAGGGAUCGGCCCGCGUCUGAUUAGGUAGUUGGUGUGGUAACGGCGCACCAAGCCGACGAUCGGUAGCUGGUUUGAGAGGAUGAUCAGCAACACUGGGACUGAGACACGGCCCAGACUCCUACGGGAGGCAGCAGUGGGGAAUCUUAGACAAUGGGCGCAAGCCUGAUCUAGCCAUGCCGCGUGGGUGAUGAAGGCCUUAGGGUCGUAAAGCCCUUUCGCCGGGGAAGAUAAUGACGGUACCCGGUAAAGAAACCCCGGCUAACUCCGUGCCAGCCGCCGCAGUAAUAC
rnacentral:rRNA from 1 species